rnacentral:rRNA from 1 species
GAUGAACGCUGGCGGCGUGCCUAAUACAUGCAAGUCGAGCGAACAGAUAAGGAGCUUGCUCCUUUGACGUUAGCGGCGGACGGGUGAGUAACACGUGGGUAACCUACCUAUAAGACUGGGAUAACUUCGGGAAACCGGAGCUAAUACCGGAUAAUAUUUCGAACCGCAUGGUUCGAUAGUGAAAGAUGGUUUUGCUAUCACUUAUAGAUGGACCCGCGCCGUAUUAGCUAGUUGGUAAGGUAACGGCUUACCAAGGCGACGAUACGUAGCCGACCUGAGAGGGUGAUCGGCCACACUGGAACUGAGACACGGUCCAGACUCCUACGGGAGGCAGCAGUAGGGAAUCUUCCGCAAUGGGCGAAAGCCUGACGGAGCAACGCCGCGUGAGUGAUGAAGGUCUUCGGAUCAUAAAACUCUGUUAUUAGGGAAGAACAUACGUGUAAGUAACUGUGCACGUCUUGACGGUACCUAAUCAGAAGGCCACGGCUAACUACGUG